UCCUCGGUGGCUCAGAUGGUUAGGGCGUCUGCCAUGUACGCAGGAGAGCCCGGGUUCGAGUCCCGGUCGGGGCU